rnacentral:rRNA from 1 species
GAUGAACGCUGGCGGCGUGCCUAAUACAUGCAAGUCGAGCGAACGGACGAGAAGCUUGCUUCUCUGAUGUUAGCGGCGGACGGGUGAGUAACACGUGGAUAACCUACCUAUAAGACUGGGAUAACUUCGGGAAACCGGAGCUAAUACCGGAUAAUAUUUUGAACCGCAUGGUUCAAAAGUGAAAGACGGUCUUGCUGUCACUUAUAGAUGGAUCCGCGCUGCAUUAGCUAGUUGGUAAGGUAACGGCUUACCAAGGCAACGAUGCAUAGCCGACCUGAGAGGGUGAUCGGCCACACUGGAACUGAGACACGGUCCGGACUCCUACGGGAGGCAGCAGUAGGGAAUCUUCCGCAAUGGGCGAAAGCCUGACGGAGCAACGCCGCGCGAGUGAUGAAGGUCUUCGGAUCGUAAAACUCUGUUAUUAGGGAAGAACAUAUGUGUAAGUAACUGUGCACAUCUUGACGGUACCUAAUCAGAAAGCCACGGCUAACUACGUG